CCUACGGGAGGCAGCAGUGAGGAAUAUUGGACAAUGGGCGCAAGCCUGAUCCAGCCAUGCCGCGUGCAGGAUGACGGUCCUAUGGAUUGUAAACUGCUUUUGCACAGGAAGAAACAACAUUACGUGUAAUGUCUUGACGGUACUGUGAGAAUAAGGAUCGGCUAACUCCGUGCCAGCAGCCGCGGUAAUACGGAGGAUCCAAGCGUUAUCCGGAAUCAUUGGGUUUAAAGGGUCCGUAGGCGGUUUAGUAAGUCAGUGGUGAAAGCCCAUCGCUCAACGGUGGAACGGCCAUUGAUACUGCUAGACUUGAAUUAUUAGGAAGUAACUAGAAUAUGUAGUGUAGCGGUGAAAUGCUUAGAGAUUACAUGGAAUACCAAUUGCGAAGGCAGGUUACUACUAAUGGAUUGACGCUGAUGGACGAAAGCGUGGGUAGCGAACAGGAUUAGAUACCCUGGUAGUCCACGCCGUAAACGAUGGAUACUAGCUGUUGGGAGCAAUCUCAGUGGCUAAGCGAAAGUGAUAGUAUCCCACCUGGGGAGUACGUUCGCAAGAAUGAAACCUNAAAGGAAUUGACGG
rnacentral:rRNA from 1 species